UACGAAGGGGGCUAGCGUUAUUCGGAAUUACUGGGCGUAAAGCGCACGUAGGCGGACUCUUAAGUCAGGGGUGAAAUCCCGGGGCUCAACCUCGGAUCUGCCUUUGAUACUGUGAGUCUCGAGACCGGAAGAGGUGAGUGGAAUUCCUAGUGUAGAGGCGAAAUUCGUAGAUAUUAGGAAGAACACCAGUGGUGAAGGCGGCUCACUGGUCCGGUGCUGACGAUGAGGUGCGAAAGAGUGGGGAGCAAACAGG
rnacentral:rRNA from 1 species